UGGAACACCUACAUCUUCAUCCUCUUCGUCUCCUGGCUCCUCAUCCUCUCCAUCUUCGGCUGCACCCCCGGCAUGGCCUGGACGCUCGUCAACCUCGGCCACUUCGCGAUUACAUACCACUUCUUCCACUGGAAGAAGGGAACUCCAUUCGCUGAUGAUCAGGGGAUGUAUAAUAGGUUGACUUGGUGGGAGCAAAUGGACAACGGCAAGCAGCUUACUCGCAACAGAAAAUUUCUUGUUGUGGUUUCUGUAGUCCUCUAA
rnacentral:rRNA from 1 species